UUAAGCGUCCAUACCACGUUGAGUACACCGAUUCUAAUCCAAUCACCGAAGUUAAGCAACGUCAGGUGCGUUCAGUACUUGGAUUGGUGCCUGGGAACACCGCGUGACGUUUCGA
rnacentral:rRNA from 1 species